GGAUCCAGACUUUGAUCCUGGCUCAGGAUGAACGCUAGCGACAGGCUUAACACAUGCAAGUCGAGGGGCAGCGAGGGAGUGGCAACACUUCUGUCGGCGACCGGCGCACGGGUGAGUAACGCGUAUGCAACCUGCCCUUCACAGGGGGAUAACCGGGAGAAAUUCCGACUAAUACCGCAUACGUCCUCCGGGGGCAUCCCCGGGGGAUGAAAGAGUUAUCGGUGAAGGAUGGGCAUGCGUGAUAUUAGGUAGUUGGCGGGGCAACGGCCCACCAAGCCUACGAUAUCUAGGGGUUCUGAGAGGAAGGUCCCCCACAUUGGUACUGAGACACGGUCCAAACUCCUACGGGAGGCAGCAGU
rnacentral:rRNA from 1 species